rnacentral:tRNA from 1 species
GGCUCCAAAGUAUAGUGGUUAGCAUGUCUGCUUUACACGCAGAAGGUCCUGGGUUCGCACCCCAGGUGGAGCCA